rnacentral:lncRNA from 1 species
UCAAAAUGCGUAUGAACUUAUUUUCAUUAAUAUUAUAUUAUUUUAAAAAAUUACACAUUAAUUUUUGACCCCACAAUCGAAAAAGUUCAGAUCUGCCCUGAGAGGAAGGCAUUGAAAGAUAGGAAGAGUAGUGUGGGAAGUACAAAAUUGAAAAUGAAAGGAGUUUUAUGAUAUAUAAUCAACAACCUAAAGUUUAGCUUUUCAUUACCCUCUGUAGCAAAUCCGGACCAAGGGUUUAUACCCUCCAUCCAGAAAAGGGAGACCACAUCCCCCACACCCCCAAGGAGGAGCAGAAUCCAAUCACACUAAGAGCACAUCUUGACUUGUCUUGAGCAAAUAUGUCGCUAAUGUUAAAUCAUGAAAAUUUUGUAGUUAUACAUCAAGCACAAAAUGACCUGAAUAAUGCAAAUAGUGGGUUGUCAGCAUCAAAUAGUUAACAACCACCACCACCAAUUACUGUGAAAGCCAAUAAUUCAAAGACAUGGCCCUUCCUGGACAGAAAUAACAAUUUAGAAAGUGUACUGAGGUUUCUAUAACUAUGAAAACUUGUUUUCCCUUGACUUCAGAACUUUUUUGAUUUGCACACUAGCAGAAAUUUUUAGAUAGAGACAUAAUCAAACUCUGUACAAAUUGAAUACUUUGUUAUUAAUUUUUGAAUGAUUUAUACCUGAAAAUUGGAUUGAAAAGUGAAAAUUUGUAGAAAAAUUAUAAACAAAUUCUAAAUAAUUAGAAGUUUUAUGGCUUUGAUAAAAUGUACGAGUGAGAGAAUAAGAUAAAGGAAGAUAAAAGAAAAAAAAAUCAAAUUUAUUAUGACUUUGCCCCUGUUUGAUGGGGUUAAAAUCAGAUUUUCAGUCAAUUUUGAUAAAAGUUAAAAAGUUAAAGAUUUCAUAAAAUAUGUUAUUAAAAUUAAUUAUUAAUUUUAAUUAGAUUAACAUUUAAAUAUCAAUUGAUACCAAACAGAACUUAUAAAAAAAAUGCUCAACAAGGACUCCCCUUGGGUCUGCCCUUGCACUCUAGAUUGGAGUUGAUAGAGUCGAUGAUUCUCAGCGGAAUAUACUUGACAUUGUUGUGAUAUUUAAUAUGUUACGGUCAAGUGAAUAGUAUAUUUUACGAAGUUUUUUGUGUUUUUUAAAAGUAUUUUCAGACAAAUUAUGCAAUGAAAUAUUCGGUGCUUCGAAUGUAAACUAAGCAACACUAUUUGUAGCGGUAGAAGCAUUUUACGUGAAGGGAAUGUUCAUUUUGUUGGGGGAGAGGGAUUGAUUGUGAAAGUUAUCACUUUUUGUACCUUCUUCUUCUUCUUCUUCUUCUUCUUCUUCUUCUUCUUCUUCUUCUUCUUCUUCCUUUUUUUUUUUUUGUGC